CUAUAUAUAUAUAUAUAUAUAUAUCUAUAAAUAAUUUAUUGUGUUAUUCAUACGUUGUUAUUUAAGUUUUCUUUUAAUUGCUAUUCCUACAUGUUGUUAUUAUAUAUUUAACUAUUAAAUAUUCCUCAAGAAUUAUGUAACAAUAAAUAUGAUUUAUUGAGUUUUUUUAUGUAUGAAUUUGAAACUUGCUGAUAGAACAGUUUUCUUUCUUGUUCUUUUCUUUAAUUAUUUUAUUUCUCCAUUAUAAUACAUUUUAAUAGAAAUUUCAAAUAUUUUCUGUAAAGACAUUUUCUAUUGAAAACUCAUACGAGAUUCAAUUCUCUUAAAUUAUCAAAUUAUUUUUAUAAAUUUAAAAUAUAAAUAUAUAAGUUUUGCCUAUUUUAUAUAUGGAUCCUAUUAUGCAUAUUAUGCCUUGGAUUUACCAUGAAUUGAACCUGAGCAAGAAUUUAUCUAUUCUAACAUAUAAAGAUUAUAUAGUUUAACAUAUUCAUAAUAAUUUUUCAUCUGUUGCUUAUAUAUAUAAUUAAUCUUUCUGAACCCAAAAUAGGUAGCACAAAGUUUUUUUUGUUAAUUUAUCUUUGGUUUUGAACAGAAAAUUUAUUACACUCAAUUGGGAUAAAAUUAUAAUUUUAAAAAAAUGCUGCUAUAAUAUGUAAUUUGGCCAUUUUCGUGUACUCAUUUCAUCCACUAAGGUAAUAUAUAUAAGUUGCAAAAUUUUUCCGCUCAUUUUUAGCUUAAUUAUGCAAUAUUUAUAUGCUAUUAAAUGAGAACCGAAAGUUUACAAUUAUGAUUUGGUUUGAGUCAUUAUCAGUUAGCUUGCAGCUAAAGUGUUUCCAAUAAAUGCCAUUAACCCAUUUCAACAAUUCAAUCAGGGGCAAUUUUUCACAAUAAAGGCAUGGAGAGGUUAACUGGAAAACCAAAUUCUCCCAUUAAGUAAUAUUGAUGAUGAACUCUGUGAAUUAGAGUUGGUAAAUGGAUUAAGAUCAGAUUUUUUUUUAUUUUGAAUUUUUUUAUACAAGUAAAACUUGAGAUAAUCAAGUGUACUUAAAUUUUAAGUCUUUGUUUUUUUGUUGUGUUGAAUUUGAGAUCUUAUAAUUUUAUAGAUGAUAUCAAUA
rnacentral:misc_RNA from 1 species